rnacentral:lncRNA from 1 species
UGGAAGGCUUGGAAGAGGAAGUGACGCUUGAGCUUUUAAGUAUAAGUAGAAUUUUAAGAUAUGUAAUUAAGGACGCGGAAAAGAAGUCAUUCCCGGCAAAAGAAAUAAUACGGCCGGCGCAGAGGCGGGAAAACAUGGACUGACUGCGAGAGAAAAGCCAGAGUUCCAGUUUGGCUGCACCAAAGGCUACUUUAAGCAUGAAAGAAUAAGCUCGUGGGAACCGCCUCCACCGCCCGGGACUCACCACCCUGAGUCUGAACCGCCCAACGCGGCCUCAACGUCGCGGAGCCGUCGCCAUCUUUCCCGUUUCCUGGUCGCGGAGAUGAACACCCCCCACCCCCCCGGCCGCGAGGCAAGCUGGGAAGGCGAGUUCCUGGAGCUGGGCGGCACAGGCCGACACUGAGGCCUGGAAACUACCAAUCCCAGAAUGCAUGACUUGAGCGCCGGCCCCAGGCUGCGGGGUCUGCCGGGCAAUGUGGUUUGCCAGACGUUAGCGUCCGGGAAGGAAGAGUUUUUCGCCAAUAGGCUUUCGGCAUUAGGUUCUCCCGCCGAGCACCCUUCUUGGAAUCGGCUGGUCUUCCUAGAAACUACGGUCUAUGACUGUCCUUGCCCGUGGCUUACAGUGGAGGAAUUUAAGGGCUUCCUGAGAUAUCUGUAGUACGUAAUUAUAGCUAACAACCGCAGUAACAAUAAAUACCAUUCGUGGAAAA